AAAACAAUUGGAAUCCAUGUUCCUAUAACCUACGGGCAAUGAAAGACCUACGCACAUUGCAAAUGACAUGGAGAGAUUUUAUCCAUAUUUCAAGGCUAUAUAAUAUUGAGUCAUUUAUAAGUAGGUACAGACAUAUAUAUUUCUUCUUGUAAUGCUACUUGCCAUUGGAUUUCUAACAAGAUUGAGUAGGAACUAUUGACGG
rnacentral:lncRNA from 1 species